CCCUAGCAGGUUUAGUGGGUAGAACUUGGUGCUUUCACUGCCAGGACCCAGGUUUAAUUCCUGGUCAGGGA
rnacentral:tRNA from 1 species